UCCGCCCAGGAAGCGCCGCAACCCGGGCUCCGGAGGGGCGAAGGGGGGCGAGGCGGGGAGCCACCGCCGAGGGGGUUCUUGCCCCCCACUUUGCACCACGCACUCUGUUCCCAGCCCAGGGGCACCGACACAAAAUGUGGCUAAAGCCGACCAGGCCGAGCUGUUGAGGAAUGCUGGGGUUUGGCGGCAGAAAGGAUGGGACCAGAGAGACGGGGUGUGAAGGAGACCCCGGUAGGGGCAGGGCUUUGCAGGCAAAGAAGGGGAAGAAGAGGCCAAGAAGUCAAAGGCCGGGCUGUGAAGGAGAAUAAAGGAGGUCAAAGAGAGGUCGUAUCUUCGUGCCUCACUUCCUGACACAAACAAGUUUUCACUGUUGUCAGCAACAAAGCCCUAAUAUAGCUGCGGGAAGAAAACUGCAUCGCAUUUUUGUCUCCUGCAAGCAUCACCCACAGUUACCGGAGGAAUGUAAUUCCAGAAAGCUUUAAAGCUGGUGGUGAUGGUAAUUAUGUAUCAAAUGCCCGAUUCUGUUUCUGUUAUUAUUGUCCUGUCGUUUCUGUUCUGCCCAAGAGCUGGCUGAACUCGCAGAGGUACAGACCCGGUUUUUCUUUUUGAUCGGGUAAAAUCUAAUCAGACCUGAUGGAGAGAACUCAUUACUCUUGGGGGAAAAUAAAGUGGGAGCCACGAAAUGUCAUUUUCACAA